CGGGGUGUAGCGCAGCCUGGUAGCGCAUAUGGUUUGGAACCAUAGGGUCGCCGGUUCAAAUCCGGCCAUCCCGACCA
rnacentral:tRNA from 1 species